UACGUAGGGUGCAAGCGUUGUCCGGAAUUAUUGGGCGUAAAGAGCUCGUAGGCGGUUUGUCACGUCGGCUGUGAAAACCUGGGGCUCAACCCCGGGCCUGCAGCCGAUACGGGCAAGCUAGAGUUCGGCAGGGGAGACUGGAAUUCCUGGUGUAGCGGUGAAAUGCGCAGAUAUCAGGAGGAACACCGGUGGCGAAGGCGGGUCUCUGGGCCGAUACUGACGCUGAGGAGCGAAAGCGUGGGGAGCGAACAGG
rnacentral:rRNA from 1 species